AGUAACGCGUAAAGAACUUGCCUCACAGCUAGGGACAACAUUUGGAAACGAAUGCUAAUACCUAAUAUUAUGAUAAUAGGGCAUCCUAUAAUUAUGAAAGCUAUAAGCGCUGUGAGAGAGCUUUGCGUCCCAUUAGCUAGUUGGAGAGGUAACGGCUUACCAAGGCGAUGAUGGGUAGCCGGCCUGAGAGGGUGAUCGGCCACAAGGGGACUGAGACACGGCCCUU
rnacentral:rRNA from 1 species